UUCUCAACUUCUGGCAGCAGCACAGGUGGCACGAGACGUAUCUUCGUCUUGGGGCACAGCCGUGAGCAGAGAGCAGCUCCUAGACGCUCAGAGAGCGGACGGCCUUUGUCAGCGGGUGUCGCAGUGGAUAGCUGAGCAAGACUCGGCGGACACCGGAACGACUGACGGACGGCACGACUCCUAUCUGCUGGGCGAGGAUGGCAUCCUGUUCAGAUACAUACCCCAGGCGGAUGAGGACGACGGCUCAUCCCCGUUCAGUCGUGGUGCCACGGAAGUUGCGACGACGGUUUCACCCCGGCGUUCCUGAACUUGGGACGAGAGGCCCCUUUUCCUGUGGAGAAUGCUCUGGGCCUCCGGGAUGGUGCUACCCGGCCUCCUUAUUCAAGGUUUGCUGAGGACCUCCGGAGUCGACUGGACGAUGCAGCCCGGACGGCUCGGGAGAAUCUGGACGUCGCAAGGUUGGACCAGACUCGCCAAUACAACCGUGGACGUCGGAACCUCACCUACAGCGUCGGUGACCUCGUCCUUCGACGGACUCACCCGCUAAGUGAUGCGUCACGAGGCUUUGCAGCUUCACUCGCAGAUAGGUGGGAUGGCUCCUUCGAGGUAAGUGCGUGCUUCUCCGGCCUUACUUACAGGCUUCGUCGCUGCGACACCGGCGAAGAGACUGGGCCAGUUCACAUCUCGGACCUGAAGUCUUACCACCUCCGAGACCCUGACGGAGAGGAGCCCGAUUUGCAACCUGCCUCCCUCCAGGACCUGGAUCCCGUUCCCGGACCUGCGUCCAGCCGCUACAACUUGCGUCCCCGCAGGCGGCGCACGUAGCUGCCACUAUCUCCAUCGCUAAGCAUAGUGCUUGUGAUUUAGUGCUUUAUUAGUGUGAUUUCUGUUCCACAGUUUUCCGCUACCUGUUUUGGGGGGAUGCCUUCUCAGGCGCCCACGGUUUGAGGCUGCCUUCUUACCAUUUCCCUUUACUUCUCCUCUCAGAUGCAACAACGUCCGCAGUCUUCCGCCCGCCGUGCACCUUCCCGCUCCCGUUCCCGCGGAAGCCGCCCGGAUCCACCCCAGCACCACUCUGUGGCCACUUGGACAGUUGUGUCCCAUGGACAGCCGGUUUCCUUGGCAUCCCGCACACGGUGGACUCACCAACCAAGGCCCCUCCGGGGGCACGACCCCACACAGACUCCGGCUCCGUUUCGCGGUCUGACGCUCACCGACCGCCACCCGGCCGAUCCCCUACAGCCCCUCACUGCGGAGGAGAAG